rnacentral:rRNA from 1 species
UACCUGGUGGAUCCUGCCAGUAGUUAUAUGCCUGUCUCAAUGAUUAAGCCAUGCAUGUCUAAGUACUAGCCGCCUUAUAAAAUGGUGAAACCGCGAAAAGCUCAUUAAAUCGGCUUUGGUUUAUUAGACAGUUUACAAAUUUCAGUGAUUUUUGGCGUCUCGUGCGUCACAAAAUCCGAAAUUGUUAAUGGAUAACUGUGGUAAUUCUAGAGCUAAUACAUGAAAAACGUAUGUGCAAAAUGCCGAUUGUUGUCGUCGUCGACUGCAAGGUUUGGCGUUUCGAUGGCGAUCGGGGCCGUUUUGCACGCUUUUAUUAGAGGAAAAAGCCUUUCGAUUGAUUGUCCGUGUGUGCCUCGCGUGCACACGUGUGCAGUCAUAGAAACGAAGGUGAUGAAUCUGAAUAACUUGAACGGAUUCUUCGUGAAGGAAAUGAUUGUGAAAUUGUUUCUGGUAGCGGAGGAUUUAAAGCAGACCGCAAAUUAAUCGUCGUACGUCACACGGUGCUUUAUUGCGCUCGACUGCGACGAGGUUGCGGCGUGUCUUUCAAUUGUCUGCCUUAUCAACUUUCGAUGGUAGGUUACAUGCCUACCAUGGUUGUAACGGGUAACGGGGAAUCAGGGUUCGAUUCCGGAGAGGGAGCCUGAGAAACGGCUACCACAUCUAAGGAAGGCAGCAGGCACACAAAUUACCCACUCCCGGCACGGGGAGGUAGUGACGAUAAAUAACGAUCCGGAGCUCUGAUGAGUUUCCGAAAUCGGAAUGAGUACAAUUUAAAUCCUUUAACGAGGAGCUAAUGGAGGGCAAGUCUGGUGCCAGCAGCCGCGGUAAUUCCAGCUCCAUUAGCAUAUAUUAAAGUUGUUGCGUUUAAAAAGCUCGUAGUUAAAUUUGUGUCCUAUGCUGUCAGUCGCUCGCAAUUUAAUUUGUGCAGUUUGAUUUGGCACGCAUGGGAUGUCAUGCUGGUGGCGUAUCGCGUGUCCGGCGCGCAACGUGCACGUCGCGUUGUCCGCGUCGGUUGCGGCCAACACCGAUUUCGUUGCGUCCGAAACGCCGUGCGCCGUUGACGCACGCUGCCGACGUUCUUAACGGAUGUCGUGUGUGCGUGCGUCUAUCGUGCGCACGAUUCGCUGUUUUCGGUCGCGGUGCGAUUUCGUGUUCUGGUAUUCGGUUCGUGUGCGUGCGGUGCAAACGAUGCUUUUCGAUAAAACAGCGGCUCGUUUCAUUGUAAACUUGCCGCUCGACUAGUUGUCUGUUUCCCGUGCGCGUCGUCGAACUUCAAAAACAUACCGGACCAGUGAGUUUACUUUGAACAAAUUAGAGUGCUUAAAGCAGGCAAAUUUGAAUGCCUUGAAUAUAAGUGCAUGGAAUAAUAGAAUAUGAUUUCGAUACCGUUUCAAGGCUUUUGUGCACUGGUAAUCGGGUGUCGCGGUAAAGCACCGGUUACGUUUUGGUGUGCUCGUAUUUUUUCAUAAAUACGCGGCGCAUCGCAAAAAACGCGGUCUUUAUCGAACGCCACCGCCUCUUGUGUCUCGUCCGUUGUCUCGAGCACAAGAAAAACGAUCCAGUGCGCGCGGAAUAUCGAAAUAAUGAUCAAUAGAGACGGAUGGGGGCAUUCGUACUACGACGUUAGAGGUGAAAUUCUUGGAUCGUCGUAAGACGAACGGAGGCGAAAGCGUUUGUCAAAAACGUUUUCAUUGAUCAAGAACGAAAGUUAGAGGUUCGAAGGCGAUCAGAUACCGCCCUAGUUCUAACCAUAAACGAUGCCAACUAGCGAUCCGCCGAUGUUCAUUCGAUUGACUCGGCGGGCAGCUUCCGGGAAACCAAAGUUUUUGGGUUCCGGGGGAAGUAUGGUUGCAAAGCUGAAACUUAAAGGAAUUGACGGAAGGGCACCACCAGGAGUGGAGCUUGCGGCUUAAUUUGACUCAACACGGGAAAUCUCACCAGGCCCGGACACCGAAAGGAUUGACAGAUUGAUAGCUCUUUCUUGAUUCGGUGGGUGGUGGUGCAUGGCCGUUCUUAGUUGGUGGAGUGAUUUGUCUGGUUAAUUCCGAUAACGAACGAGACUCUGGCCUGCUAACUAGACGUAAACGUGCUGUCGGUUCGUUUGGCGUGCUCGUGUGCCGUGUUGCCGUGUGCUCGCGUAGCGCGCGCGCACGUUUCGGCGUGCGUGUGGCGACACGUUGUUCACGGUCGCGGUACGCGGAUGCGUUCAAGUGUCCGGUGGCCGUUAGAACCGAUAUUUUGAAGUUGUUCGUGCACGUGAGGAUGCAUUGGUCGCUAUUGCUCUUGCCGUUCGGAGUGUUGCUUGCGUGCGCCGUGUUCGAUUGUGUACACGUGUGUGGUUGUGUGUGUGUCGUGUAUCGCGUCGAUAGUCGCUGUUUUCGGACAGUGUGCUGUAGACGUGUGCACGCGCGCGUCACGUCUCGCAUGUGUGCCGUUGUGCACGGUGUGCGUGUGGCGGUGUUUUUGUGACGGUGAGCCGGCGAUAGUGUUUCGAUGUGUCCAUUUCUCGUGUGCAACAUUCCGCUAUCGGCGUUUUGAAAAAUCUCUUCUUAGAGGGACAGGUGGAUAAAAAGCCACACGAGAAGGAGCAAUAACAGGUCUGUGAUGCCCUUAGAUGUCCUGGGCUGCACGCGUGCUGCACUGAAAAAAUCAGCGUGUUUUUUCUAUUCCGACAGGAACGGAUAAACCGUUGAAAAUUUUUCGUGAUAGGGAUCGGAGAUUGAAAUUAUUCUCCGUGAACGAGGAAUUCCCAGUAAGCGCGAGUCAUAAGCUCGCGUUGAUUGCGUCCCUGCCCUUUGUACACACCGCCCGUCGCUACUACCGAUUGAAUGAUUUAGUGAGGUCUUCGGACUGUCUCGCGACAAACGUUUCGACGUUUUCGUUGUUCUGAUAGAAAGAUGACCGAACUUGAUCAUUUAGAGGAAGUAAAAGUCGUAACAAGGUUUCCGUAGGUGAACCUGCAGAAGGAUCAUUA